GGGGAUUUUAAUGAGAUAUUGUACUCGUCGGAAAAGGAUGGAGGAGCCCCUCAACAGCAAACUCGGAUGCAAUCAUUUCAAGACGUGCUCAAUGACUGCUCUCUGGAAGAUAUUGGGUACAACGGGGACAAGUUUACCUUUUUCAUAGGAGGAUUGCGCGAACGACUAGAUCGGGCUGUGUCUAAUGCAGAGUGGAUGGAGAUGCAUCGGUUAUGUGGAUUGAGUAAUCUAGAGAUGGACAAGUCAGAUCACAGACUGAUUUGCCUAGACACUGGGUACUUGGCCGGAGUGGUAGCGGCGCGCCAUAGUGCCAGCCGCAAGUUUGAGGCGCGAUGGCUAGCCGAAGAAGCAGUUGAAGAGAUUGUUAAAAUGGCUUUGCUGAAGGCUGUUACUCAAGGCCUUUGCCCUACAGCCAAGGAGAAUCUAAACGUCGUUCACAAAGAGCUUCAUGUGUGGGACCGAAAGGUCCUAAAGGGGCCGCGGUACAGACUGCGAUCAACUCAACAGGAGCUUGAGAUGCUUAUGAAACAGCCAUAUGAUGCAGAGAUAAAGGCAAAAUAG
rnacentral:rRNA from 1 species